GGUAUAGCCAUUCAAUCCCCACAUGGAGGGGAUUAUCGUCGAGUACUCCGGAGUGUCGCGCGACUAGGACCACUUGGAGGUCCGGACCACAUGGAGGUCCGCAGACGGUCCCGGGCUUGGGUGCACUUGGAGCUCCCUCCCCACUUUGGGAUUGAAAGGUGAGUCAUAGGCGAGCCCUAGGGCCUCGCCACAGAUUGGGUAAAUGGAAAGAGUAAAGGUUUAAGAAUGUCAUUAAAUAUUGCUAUUCAAAUAUGGAUCGAAUUUGUUAGCAUGGUAGCAAACCUUUAUCAUAUGAUGCAUGCAUUCAUAUCCAUGAUUAUGGGCAUAGUAGCAUAAUUUUCCUACUAUUGCAUUUACAGUUUUCAGAUACAUAUCUAUCUAUCUAUCUAUCUGUUGUUACUUGUGCCCACUUGGACCUAGUGGGGAGAUCGGUAGAGUCGGCGGCCGAGCCCACUGGAAACUAUGGAAGAUAGUUCUCACUCCACUCUAUUUCCAGUGGUAGGUGCAGGGCUGCCGAGAGAGGACCGCGGCAAGGCCAUCGCUCCCGAUCAGUGAGACCGUGGUAAUAUAGUAGCUUUCCUUUUUGCAUUAGUACACCUAUGUAUUGAGAGAGAUUCAUUGUAGGUGAGGAUUUGGAGAGCUAUGUAUUUUGGAGAUGAAAAAUGUAUUCAUUUAAAGAAAAUGAUGUAAAUAAAAAUGUUGAAACUAUUGUAAUAGUUUAGUGAAGUACUCUCUUUAUUUCACAUGCUUUAUCUUGUGGAUCGCUUGCUCUUCGCGUUGUUGGCACCGUUUGUGCCCUUGUGAAUGUGUAUGUUUAGAAUUUAAUUUCCUGCGUAAAUUCUUGUACACAUUCCUAUUGUUGAGCCUGGGGCGGACAAGGGAGGUGCUGUCCGUUCGGCGGCCUGCCGCCGCGGCCGAACCGUGCCAAAUUGGUAGUGGUUUCGGGGCGGGGCGUGACCGCCUUUGUGGUAUCAGAGCCUAAGAGCAAGUAAAGAGAAAGUCUAGGAUAAUCUAGGAGACCCUAGGUCGGUAAGCCCUAAGGUUAUAGGUGCAUGAGCGGAACGUGAACUUAUAGCGAUGGCGGAAGUUGAUUCUAUUGGGUCGAAGUUGGUAAUAUGUCUCUAGUUGUGGUUAGAGACGGAUUCAAGUGGUAUAAGUUCUUGUCUUGAGAUGGUUGUGUCGGCGGCCGACGACAUGAUACUAAGAGCCUAGAACGAGUGCACUUGUGUGCUUCCGCCUGAUUUUGUUGUUGAGUCGUCAUGUGUCGUAAUUGCGACGAGAUAAUUGGUUAAGAUGACUGACCAAGUAAUUGCGUUUCAGGGACUAAUGUCUCCAAGACGCUACACACGUAGAACUGCCCCAGCACCGACUCCUGAGGUGCCCGAGCAGGAGGAACCGAGCGUGAUCGAUUGGUUGCAAGCACAGGUGACCGCGUUGACCAAUGUGGUGCAGCGCCAGGAGACCAGAUUCGAGCGGCUCCAGGAUCUAUUGGAGCGGCAGAUCGCGGCGACGGCUGCGACGGUAAAUGAAGGCAGUGGCCCGCCCAAACCCUCGACUCAUAUACCUGGAGCGGCAGAGGGUGAGGGCAUAGCGGCGGUUCCGAUGACGGCACGCCCACCGCGAACGAUCGUACCACAGGCGGCAUCGGGGUCGGCUACACCCGAUGUGUCGGUCGAAGACGUGGAGGGAGAGAGCGCAUUGGCGGCUCUUAUCAAGUUCAACAAGUUCCAUCCGCCAACUUUCGAGGGCGAGAAGGUGGAACCGGAGAUGGUCGAGUCUUGGAUCGACUCGAUGGAAACCCUCUUCGAUGACUUGCGUACCUUGGAGAGGGACAAGGUGUACCUCGCCACCCAUUGCUUGGAAAAGGCGGCGAAGGUUUGGUGAAGCGAGUCAAACGGGAUCGGCUUCCCGGCCUUCCACCAAUGUUGUGGGAGGAAUUCAAGCGGGAGAUGUUCGCCAACUAUUUUCCCGAUACAUUGAAGCGGAAGCUCAAGGAGAAGUUCCGCAAGCUCGAGCAAGGGGACCGCCCAGUGGCGGAGUAUGAACAAGAAUUCUCCCAUAUUAUCGAUUUCGUCCUGGAUGUUGUAAAGGAUGACCGGGACCGGGCCGAGUGGUUCUUGCGAGGGCUUCGGCCGGGAAUCUAUAAGGCCGUGCAAAUAUUCAAGCUCACGACUUUUGCGGAGGUCUUCGAUCGAGCCCUAUGGGUGGAGCACGGAGAUGCCCACGUUCGGGAGAAGCGUGAGGCUUUGGCCGAGUCUAAGGACAAGGGCAAGAAACGCCAAGGCGGCGGUAGUUCGGGGGGGACAAGCACGUUACAAGAAACCCCUGAAGUAUCCGCGCGCUCAACAAAAGGGCGGUGGAGCGCGGUGAUGCAUUGUGUGCGGCGGAGACCACCCAGUCUCGCGCUGUGAGCAAGGUCGAGGCAAGUACUACAAAUGUGGGCAACCGGGGCACUUCAUUUGAGACUGCCCGGGAGGAGGAGCCUCACCUACCCCAUAGAUUGCAUCGGCGUCGGCGAUCCCGGCUCACUAUGGAGGAGCUCCAACGACGGCCGCGUCGACUGGACGCGCGAUGAUGCCGCGUCAACCUGAAGUGAUGCGAUCGGCCCCGAGCAGACGGGUGUUCGCCGCUCAGGUCCAAACUGAGGAACCUGCGGAGGCGGAGGAGCAUCGCCUUGUGGCAGGUAUGGUUUUAAUUAACGGAGUUCGCUCCAGGGCUUUAUUUGAUACAGGAGCCACGCAUCCAUUCAUAAGUAGAUCAUUCGCACGCAUGCAUGACAUUCUCAUAGAGGCGAGUGACAAGUGGCGAGUGGAGGGCCCUGAGUCGACGUUUAACACUUACUCGGAGUGUGCGUCAUGUCCCGUGCAAAUAGGCGACUGGAUUAUGCCUAUCCGGACACUGGAACUCCAGAAGCUUGAGGCUUUUGAUAUCAUUCUGGGCAUGGACUGGCUCUCGAAGUAUCAUGCGACGAUCGACUGUAAGAGCAGGGUGAUCACUUUUCGUGAACCAGGACAGGAGGAGUUCACAUAUCGGGCUUGUCAGAGCUCGUGCUUUGUCGCGACGGUGUCGGCGACGAGAGCAAGAAAGUUAGUUAACAGCGGUUGCACGGCAUUCUUAGUGACUGUUGUGGAAGUGGAACGAGUAGCUCCAACGUUAGGGGAGCUAUCGGUGGUGCGGGAGUUCCCGGAUGUGCUUCUUGCGGAGUUGCCGGGGAUACCACCGGAUCGGGAGAUCGAGUUUGUCAUAGACUUGGUUCCCGGUACCGCGCCGAUCUCGAAGGCCCCGUACCGAAUAGCGCCGGCGGAAUUGAAAGAGUUGAGGAGUCAACUGCAAGACCUCCUCGACAAGCAAUUUAUCCGGCCAAGUGUAUCACCGUGGGGAGCCCCGGUGUUGUUUGUACGGAAGAAGGACGGAUCGUUUCGACUCUGCGUGGACUAUCGAGAAUUGAACAGAGUCACGAUCAAGAACAAGUACCCAUUACCCCGGAUCGAUGACUUGUUCGAUCAGUUGCAAGGGUCAUGCGUGUACUCGAAGAUAGAUUUGCAAUCCGGCUACCACCAACUGAAGAUCAAGCCGGAGGAUGUGCAGAAAACUGCGUUUUGUACGCGGUAUGGACACUAUGAAUUCACGGUUAUGCCAUUUAGACUCAUGAAUGCUCCAGCGGUGUUCAUGGAUUUAAUGAACUGUGUCUUCAAGAAGUAUUUGGAUCGAUUUGUCGUGGUCUUCAUAGACGACAUAUUGGUCUAUUCUCGUAGCAACGAAGAACAUGUCGAGCAUUUGAGGAUAGUUCUUCAAGUCCUUCGGGAGGAGAAGCUAUAUGCUAAGCUGAAGAAGUGUGACUUCUGGCUUUGCGAGGUCGCCUUCUUAGGGCAUGUGAUUUUCGCGGGUGGAGUUUCUGUAGACCCGAGGAAAGUGGAGGCAAUCAAGGAUUGGCCGCGCCCGACAAAUGUCAUGGAGGUUCGAAGCUUCGUGGGCUUGGCGGGCUAUUAUAGGCGGUUCGUGGAAGGUUUUUCCAAAAUAGUGAUUCCACUUACCCGCCUUACUCAGAAAGGCACCAAGUUCGUUUAGAGCGAAGAAUGUGACCAGAGUUUCAAAGAGUUGAAGCAAAGACUGACUUCGACUCCGGUGCUCGCUCUACCGGUGCAGGGCGAAGACUUCUUGGUCUACGGUGAUGCCUCCUAUCUUGGGUUGGGGUGUGUAUUGAUGCAAAACGGGAAGGUGAUCGCUUAUGCAUCCCGUCAACUGAAGAGCUAUGAGAGGAACUACCCCAUCCAUGAUUUGGAGCUAGCGGUGGUGAUUUUCGCCUUGAAGCUGUGGAGGCACUACUUAUAGGGUGCCCAUUGUGAGAUUUAUACCGACCACAAGAGCUUGAAGUACCUGUUUACACAGACGGAGCUCAACAUGCGUCAGCGGCGGUGGUUGGAGCUGUUAAAAGACUAUGAUGUUGAUAUCCUCUACCACCCCGGGAAGGCAAAUGUGGUCGCGGACGCACUUAGUAGGAAGUCGGCGAAGAACCUCGCUUUUGAUAUUACCCAGCAAACACCCCUGUGGCUGGAUAUGGAGCGAUUGGACCUUAAAGUGGUCACUCCCGAGGUCCCGACUCAGUUGAUGGCACUCGUUGUCCAACCGACCUUGUUGGAGAGGAUCAAAGAUCUGCAACCCGCAGACCCAGAACUCCAAAAGGUGCGGCGAAAUAUCGAGGAAGGGCAUGGCGGCGAUUUCAGGGUAGACGCCGAUGGUACGCUUCGGUUUCGAAACCGAUGGUGUGUGCCGAAAAAUGGAGAGCUUCGUGAAUUGAUUCUGCAAAAAGCACACCGAUCUCCAUAUGCCGAUCACCCAGGCGGCACCAAGAUGUAUCGUGGAUUAAAAAUGCACUAUUGGUGGCCGGGAAUGAAGAGUGACAUUGGACGCUUUGUGGCAAAGUGCCUGACAUGCCAACAAGUGAAGGCCGAGCGUCGAUUUCCAGCGGGAAAGCUUCAAAGCCUACCAAUCCCCGUUUGGAAAUGGGAGGAUAUAUCAAUGGACUUCGUGGUCGGCUUGCCUCGCUCAACGGGCGGCCAUGAUGCAAUUUGGGUAAUUGUGGACCGAUUGACAAAGUCGGCUCACUUCUUACCGAUCCACACCACGUGAUCGGGUGACAAGUUAGCGCAGGUAUAUCUUGACCAGAUAGUGAGACUGCAUCGGGUGCCAAAAUCGAUCGUGUCGGAUCAUGACCCCCGGUUCACUUCACACUUCUGGAAAAGCCUGCAGGAAGCCCUUGGCACACGGCUCGACUUCAGCACUGCAUUUCAUCCUCAGAUCGAUGGGCAAACAGAAAGAACUAUUCAAACACUGGAGGACAUGUUGCGAGCGUUUGUCAUCGACUAUAAGGGAAGUUGGUGUGACCACUUACCUAUGGCCGAGUUCGCCUACAACAACAGUUAUCAUGCUAGUAUGGAGAUGGCACCGUUCGAGGCUCUUUAUAGGCGGUCGCGUCGAUCUCCUAUACACUGGAGCGAUGUAGGUGAGCGUGCUGAGUUCAGCCCAGAUGUGUUGCGAGAAGCGAAAGAGAAAGUCCGCCUUGCUCGCAAGAGAUUGCUCACGGCGUAGUCGAGACAACAGAGUUAUGCAGAUAGACGCCGUCGAGAUAUAGAAUUCGCGGUAGGCGACCGCGUAUUCCUGAAAGUCUCACCGAUGCGGGGUGUGAAGCGGUUUGGAGUGCGGGGAAAACUAAGUCCCCGAUACAUUGGGCCAUCUGAGAUAUUGGAGCGAGUUGGCAUGGUGGCCUACCGACUUGCUUUGCCGCCGAAACUUGCGGAUGUACACAAUGUGUUCCAUGUCUCCAAUCUCCGCAAGUAUAUUCACGACCCCGAGCAUGUGAUGCUAUAUGAACCGCGGGAACUUCAAGGAGACUUGAGCUAUGAAGAGUUUCCGGUAGGGAUUAUCGCCCGAGAGGUGCGAAAGUUGAGGCAUCGAGAAAUUCCCUAUGUGAAGGACAGGUGGAGCAAUCACGAGGAUCGCGAAGCCACCUGGGAACUCGAGGAUCUGAUGAGAAAACACCAUCCUCAUCUAUUUGAGGAGUAAGGUAUGGGUUUAAGUCAAGAAUUGAGUUAGUUUGGAGGACGAAACUUCUUUUAAGGAGGGGAGGAUGUAAGGAAGUGAAUUCUCGAAAUGCGAGGAUUGUACUUCAUCCAGAAUCGACUGACCGUCGAGAGAAUACCCUUUGUGGGAGUUAAGAAUGUCCAAAACACAAAAAGUGCUUUGGAGUUGAGUCCGUGAGAGCAAAUGGUGCAAACUGUAUUUUUGGGCUGAUGUUGCUCUCGGGGACCGGUCUCUGGAGGUGAGAGACUGGUUCCCUCGGCUGGGUGUAGCGGGGUUGUUUGGUGCAACCGGUCCCUGGCAGGGAGGGACCGGUACCCGAACGUGGUCCCAGCAAGAAAUGCCGAAAUUUGGCUAAGUCCUGAAAAUCGAGCUCUAAGGGACCGGUCUCUCAUGCGAGGACUGGUCUCCCGAGGACCGGUCUCCCGGGGAGAGACCGGUUCCCGAACGCGUGCGCCCGAGGGAAGCCCUCGGGGAUCGGUCCCAAGUCGGGGAGACCGGUCCCUCCGUGCGAAAACUGCCCAGUAAGGGCUGUGCAAUGGAUGGAAAGCUGAGGGGUCUAAAUGCAAAAUGGCCUUUAUUAGAGUGGGCUGAGCUCUCUCUCUCCCUCACACUCAUCUCAUUUCACUCUCUCUCUCACUCUCUCUUUCUCUCUUGCUCCCUCUCUAGAAAAGAAAGGAGAAGAAGAAGAACAAGAAGGAGAGGAAGGAAAAGAAGGAGAAGGAAAGGAAGGAGAAGAAGAAGAAGGAGAUCAAGAAGACGGCUUUGGACACCUUCAUCAACCUCUCCUCUUCUCUUUGGUGUAGCACAAGAGGUAGGCUCUUGAGCCCUAGCUUCUAAACUUUGGAGUUUUGGGUUUUCAUGCUUUGGAAUGGGUCAAAUGAACCCUAAGCAUGCUUCUAAGUAGAUCAAUCCCAUGAAUCUAGGGAUUUAUUCGGUGGUUUGCUAUGGGUACAAACCUAGGGCUCCGAAAUGGGGUUUUUGCGAAAGUAUGAGAUUGAUCUCAUUUGAAGCCUUGGAAACCCUAUUGUUAGGUCACAAAACGUGGGGGCGAAGUCGAUUUUGGCAUUCGGCGACCCGGCGUGAAGUUCUCGGCAAAAUAGGGCCGGGUUAGCAUCGAUUCGGUCAAGGAAGGCUAAAGCCUUUUCGUAAAGCUCGCCGAGAAGGAUUUUCUAAGCCUCUACAGCGAUAAAAGGUGGGAGGUGCCAUCCCGAAGCUUUCGAACUCCUUUCUAUGUCUUAGAUUGCAUUUAAUCUCAUCUAUUUAUAUUGCAUUGUAGGAUUGCAUAGUAGCUCCAUUCCUUAUGCUUUCUAAAUGAUAACCUAGUGUACUUGGAACGCUUGGUGACUUAGAUAGGUGAGGAUUGGGUCGGAACGUGGAUCCUAUGAUGCUAGAGAUAGAGAUGAACCCGAUGGGGGUGUUGAUGACAUAGAAAGCAGUGUUAUUGUCAAAGAAUAAACGAGUGGCAUCCAAAUGUUAAAUGAUAACGAGUGGCAUUAAUGUAGUGUAAUUAACACCAGAAGUCGAUGGACCUAGGGAUAGGCGGAUCCCUUAGAAAAUGCCUUGUGAACAAUAAAUUUAGAAAAGCUAAAUAGCAUUGCAUGAAUGUCGCGAGAAAUGUUGACUCUAGUUGUAGAGCAUCCUCACUUGGAGAGGACUUGAUUGAGUUGUUGACCCUAGUUGUAGAACAUCCUCACUUGGAGAGGAUAGAUCUAGCUCACAGUCUGCGUUCGGGAUGGUAUAGCCAUCCAAUUCCCACAUGGAGGGGAUUGUCGUCGAGUACUCCAGAGUGUCGCGCGACUAGGACCACUUGGAGGUCCGGACCACAUGGAGGUCCGCAGACGGUCCCGGGCUUGGGUGCACUUGGAGCUCCUUCCCCACUUUGGGAUUGAAAGGUGAGUCAUAGGCGAGCCCUAGGGCCUCGCCACAGAUUGGGUAAAUGGAAAGAGUUAAGGUUUAAGAAUGUCAUUGAAUAUUGCUAUUCGAACAUGGAUCGAAUUUGUUAGCAUGGUAGCAAACCUUUAUCAUAUGAUGCAUGCAUUCAUAUCCAUGAUUAUG
rnacentral:lncRNA from 1 species